AGAGUUUGAUCCUGGCUCAGGACGAACGCUGGCGGUGUGCUUCACACAUGCAAGUCGAGCGAAUGAAGAAGGUAGCUUGCUACUUUUGGAUUUAGCGGCGGACGGGUGAGUAAUAUAUAGGAAUCUGCCCUAGAGCGGGGAACAACAGACCGAAAGGUUUGCUAAUGCCCCAUAGGUACGCAGUCUUCGGAUUGUUUAUUAAAGGAGUAAUCCACUCUAGGAUGAGCCUGUAUCCGAUUAGCUAGUUGGCGGGGUAAAGGCCCACCAAGGCUACGAUCGGUAGUUGGUCUGAGAGGAUGAUCAGCCACAAUGGGACUGAGACACGGCCCAUACUCCUACGGGAGGCAGCAGUGGGGAAUUUUACACAAUGGGGGAAACCCUGAUGUAGCGACACCGCGUGAACGAAGAAGCCUUUUGGGGUGUAAAGUUCUGUCGGCUGGAACGAAAAAAAUGACGGUACCAGCAAAGGAAGCAUCGGCUAACUACGUGCCAGCAGCCGCGGUAAAACGUAGGAUGCAAGCGUUGUCCGGAUUUAUUGGGCGUAAAGGGUUCGUAGGCGGUUAUUUAAGUCUGGUGUUAAAUACUGUGGCCCAACCACAGAACUGCAUUGGAUACUGGAUGACUUGAGUGCGGUAGAGGCGAGUGGAAUUCCCAGUGUAGCGGUGAAAUGCGUAGA
rnacentral:rRNA from 1 species